UUGCGCAGGACAGGAAGUUGCGUCAGAACCAGCGGAGUGGUGGAGAGAGCGCAUCCAUGUUGUACGGAAGGCGAUGCACCUCUCCUCCGUGGGCGGAGAUGCAGGCAACCAUCGUGCCGCCCCUCUGUGGGCUGGGCUGCACACUAGCUGUCUACAUCAAGGCCACGCAGAAAUCUAUUGGAAAUCGCUGUAGAAACAAACGCAAAGGACAAGCUGCGAAGGACAGAGACAAAGGAAACUAAGAGAAUUACCAGUCAACCUACCUUUAAAGAAUGACUAAGGAUAUUCCUCAAAGGAAAUAAAGCAGGCACAGAACUUCAGAACGAAAGAACAAUGGAAUGAACAAAAAUAGGAGUUUUUGUUAAUGAAUCAUUCUAUCAGAAAAAUCAGGAGAAGAUGUAUUUUGCUGUGGAAUGAAAAGUGACAAUACGACAUUAAUUUCUUGAUUUCCGCCUUCAAAUCUUUCAAGAUCACACCUUCGGCAAUAAAGAAACCUGAAAUUGAAAACAAGUUUGAUUAUGAAAUAAAAAAACACAGCUGAGCGCGGUGGCUCACGACUGUAAUACCAGCACUUUGGGAGGCUGAGGUCAGUCCCUGCGGGGUUUCAAUCCUAUCAGUUACUCUUCUCUACAUCACCUAUCAAUUAUUUGCUGUUUUGCUCUGGGGUUGUGAUGUUUAAAAGAAGAUACAAGUCAAGUGGCUGGAGUGCAAUGGCACUAUCUUGGCUCACUGCAACCUCCGUCUCCUAAGUUCAAGUGAUCCUCCUGUCUCAACCUCCCAAGUAGCUGGGAUUACAGGCAGCUCACUGGCCCAUCUCCUCUCAAGACUGCUGCUCUGGCGACCACAUCUCUGCUCUGCAUCACCACCACUCUAGCCUGUGGCCUGCUCCUGGUUGAAGAAGCCAUCCUCUCAAUCAAAAUGAAUACCACUCUGAAAAUCUUGGGUGGUCUGACCUGAUAUUUUCACAUAGUGGCCACAGAUAUUUUAGGUCCCCAAGAAGUAGUCCCACUCUUUCAAUUUUACUGGCCCCACUGUUUGAGGAACUUGGAAUAAUUUCUCCAAGGACUGGUCUGGAGGUACUAUUGAAUGACACCAGUGUUUUUCUUCCUCCCUACUAAGGGCCAGCUGAUGUCUCAAGACCAGACAUAAAGCUUUUGGUGCUCAACUCACUCAGAAUGAGAGUCUUGCUUUCCCUCAGCACUUCCUGCCCUUCGAGGUUGGGGCCAAACAUUUUGUUCCUUUGUUACUAAGGACUUUUGAUCUUGGUUUUCGAUAUUUGUCAUUCCCAGGAGAAUUAGUACCCUGUGUCUUGGUAAAUUGUAAGAGCACUGUGGAUUUGGGAUUGUCUCAUUUCCCCAUCCCUCCCUUCACAAGAAAAGAGAAAGAGAGAGAACACCCAAACCCUGCAUCACCACUCACUCACCUGUCCACAGCCUAUGGAACAGCUGUUCGGGCAGCUGUCACAAACUGUUCACACAGGUUUUCUGAGAGAUUGGCAGUCUCCACGAGGAAGUGCUUAUAACUCCCUGCUAUGGUUCAAAUGUGUCCUCCAAAGUUUAUGUGUUGGAAACUUAAUACUCAAUACAACAGUGUUGACAGGUGGGGCCUAUAAGAGGUGAUUAGAUCACAAGCCUCUGCCCUCAUGAAUGGAUUAACGUUACUGAAAGAGCGGGACUGUUAUGCAAGCAAGUUUAGCCCCCUUCCUGUGCGCGCGCUCUCUCUCUUUCUCUCUGAAAAAGAGUGGGAGUUAGAUGCUUUUUUUCAAAAAGAACUCCUUAUACUAUCUCCACCAAUUUCUUUACAUCCUAUUCUAACCCCUCACAUUCCAUUCCUCCCUAAUCCACUUUACUAUAGUUUUCAUUUUCACCAAGAUUUAUAGUGACACCAGCUAGUCAAACACGAUGACUAACAUUCUUUGUGAUUUCAUCUUACUGACCAGUUACCAUGUGCCCAACCACUCUUCCACUGUCAAAACACCCUUGGCUUCCCUGAUGCCAUGUUCUUCGGAUUUUUUUCCCCAUGCCAUUGGCUUUGGUUUCACUCCUCUCGGGUUUUCUUUGUUCAACUCCUAAAUUUUUAAGUAUUCUAUAGGCUUGAUUUUGGUUUCUCUGUUUGUUUUCUCUCUUUAUCCUCAUUCUAGGGAAUCUCAUUUCUUUCAUUAUAAAUCACCAGAAUUAUGAUAAUUUUCAAAUUUAUUUCACUAGCCCCACCAAGAUCCAAACUUAUAUAUCCAACCUCCUCCUUGAUAUGAAAUUUGAUGAUUAAUAAUCGUUUGAAACCAGAAUUCUUGAUUCCCCUUGCAAAUCUGUUCCUGUCUUUAUCAUUUCAGUCAAUGACAUAUCUACUUAGUUGUUCAAGCUAAAAACAUAGAAGUCAUUCUCAAUUCCUUCUUUUCUGUCACCUCUGUGUCCAUCCAUUAUCAGUCUAGUCAGUUCACCCUCCAAAAUCAAUCUCAAAUCUGUUUAUUCCUUUUAUUCUUUACCUUUACCCUCUUAGUCCAAAUCACUGGCUGCAGUAACUAUCUAACUGGCAUCCAUGCUUCCAUGUUUGCCCCCUACAACCCAUUCUCUACACAGCAUUCAGGGUGAUUUUUUUUUUUUAAUGUAACUCAGGGCAUGUCUAUUCUCUGUCAUUUAAGUCAAACAAAAUUCAGCUUCCUCACUUCAUUUGAUUUGGUCUCAUCAUACAAGCUUUAUCCAUUUAAGACUUUGUUUCUUUGUUAUCAGGUGUAAAGAUAGAUCCUUUUGUUCUUUAAAAGCAGAUACGUUUACCUUUUCAAAUAGAUCCCUUUACUUUUAGUUAAACUCCAAUUUUGCCGGCAAAAGAACACUGCUUUUCCUGUUUGGGAACUGGUUGUGGGGAGAUAUAGGGGACUGAUAGGGUGACCAAACAUGUAGUAGAGAACCCCAGUGUCAUUGCACAAAUGCCGGCCUUCCCCACAUUCAUGGCUGAGCCUAGCUAAAACUGUAGGGGAAAUUUUUCUUCAGUAUACCAGCCAUUUUUGGGGGGGUUAUCAUAUUACUAUCAUCUGCCUCUCCUGCACUUAUUUUGCAAAGUUUACAGUGCUUUCUUCUAGGCCUCCAUAAAAAUUUGUUCUCAUAAUUUCUAUGUGUGAAAUGUGAACCCAAAGGUAUCUGAGACAGGUCUCAAUCAAUUUAGAAAGUUUUUUGUUCCAAGGUUAAGGACACACCCAUGACACAGCCUUAGGAGGUCCUGACAACGUGUGCCCAAGGUGGUCAGAAUAAAGCUUGCUUUUAUACACCUUAGGGAGACACAAUACAUCAAUCAAUACAUGUAAGAUUUACAGGAGUUCAAUCUGGAAAGACAGGACAACUUAAGGUGGGGACUUACCGGUCGUAGGAAGAUUUAAAAAUUUUCUGAUUGGCAACUGGCUGAAAUAGUUAUUAUCAGUAGAAAACAAUGUCUGGGUUGUGAUAAGGGGUUGUGGAGUCCAAGGUUUCAGUAUGAGGUUGAAGCCUCCACGUAGCAAGUUUCAAAAGAGAAUAGAUGGCAAAUGUUUCUUAUCAGACUUAGGGUUUGUGUUGAUAUUAAAUGCUGGUCAGCUUUUCCUGAAUUCCAAAAGGGAGGAGGGCAUAAUAAGGCAUGUCCAAUAUACCAUUAUGGCCUGAACCAGUCUUUCAGGAUAACUUUGGAGUGCCCUGGCUGAGACGGGGGCCAUAGAAUUUUAUUAUUGUUUACAGAAAUCAUCUGGGAAAAUGUAUUAAAAAUAACAAAACAAGCAUUUUGCAUUUGUCUUUAAAAGAUAGCCAUGCAUUGUGGCUCACACCUGUAAUCCCAACAUUUAGGGAGGCCAAGGUAGGGGGAACACUUGAGGGCAGGAGUUCAAGACCAUCCUGGGCAACGUAGCAAGAUCUCAUUUCCAGAAAAAACGAAAAUAAAAAAAAAAUUAGCCAGGCAUGGCAGCACGUGCCUGUAGUCCCACCUCCUUGGGAGGCUGACGUGGGAAGAUCUCUUGAGCCUAGGAGAUCAACGUUACAGUGAGCUAUGAUGGCACCAUUGCACUCCAGUCUGGAUGACAGACAAGAAGAAAGAACAAAGAGAGAGAGAGAGAGGUAGGGUCUAUAUGGGGUACAUGUGAAGAACAUGCAGGAUUGUUGAGUAGGUACCUACAUGGCAUUGCUGCCUCCAUCCCCAUCACCUAUAUCUGGCAUUUCUCCCUAUGUUAUCCCUCCUCAACUCCCUACCCGCUGCUGUUCCUCCCCUACUUUUCUCCAACAGACCCCAGUGUGUGAUGCUUCCCUCCCUGUGUCCAUGCGUUCUCAUCGUUCAAAACCCACCUAUGAGUAAGAACAUGUGGUGUUUGAUUUUCUGUUCUUGUGUCAGUUUGCUGAGAAUGAUGGUUUCCAGGUUCAUCCAUGUCCCUACAAAAGAGACAAACUCGUCGUUUUUUAUGGUUGCAUAGUAUUCCAUGGUGUGUAUGUGCCACAUUUUCCCUGUCCAGUCUAUCAUUGAUGGGCAUUUGGGUUGGUUCCAGGUCUUUGCUAUUGUAAACAGUGUCACAAUGAACAUACUUGUGCAUGUGUCUUUAUAAUAGAAUGAUUUAUAAUCCUUUGGAUAUAUACCCAGUAAUGGGAUUGUUGGGUCAAAUGGAAUUUCUAUUUCUAGGUCCUUGAGGAAUCACCACACUGUCUUCCACAAUGGUUGAACUAAUUUACACUCCCACCAACAGUGUGACAGUGUUCCUAUUUCUCCACAUCCUCUCCAGCAUCUGUUGUCUCCAGAUUUUUUAAUGAUCGCCAUUCUAACUGGCAUGAGAUGGUAUCUCAAUGUGAUUUUGAUUUGAAUUUCUCUAAUGACCAGUGAUGUGAGCAUUUUUUUAUAUGUUUGUUGGCCUCAUGUAUGUCUUCUUUCGAAAAGUGUCUGUUCAUAUCUUUUGCCCACUUUUGAAUGGGUUUUUUUUUCUUGUAAAUAUGUUUUAGUUAUUUGUAGAUUCUGGAUAUUAGCCCUUUGUCAGAUGGGUAGAUUGCAAAAAAUUUUUCCCAUUCUGUUUAUUACCAGUUCACUCUAAUGAUUGUUUCUUUUGCUAUGCAGAAGCUCUGGAGUUCAAUUAGAUCCCAUAUGUCUAUUUUGAGUUUUGUUGCCAUUGUUUUUGGUGUUUUAGUCAUGAAGUCCUUGUCUUUGCCUACAUCCUGAAUGGUUUUACCUAGGUUUUCUUCUAGGGUUUUUAUAGUGUCAGGUCUUAUGUUUAAGUCUUUAAUCCAUUUGGAAUUAAUUUUAGUGUAAGGUGUCAGGAAGGGGUCCAGUUUCUGCUUUCUGCACAUACCUAGCCAGUUUUCCCAACACCAUUCAUUAAACAGGGAGUCCUUUCCCCAUUGCUUGUUUUUGUCAGGUUUAUUAAAGAUCAUAUAAUUGCAGAGAUGUUGUGUUGCCUCCGAUGCCUCUGUUCUGUUCCAUUGGUCUAUAUCUCUGUUUUGUACCAGUACCAUGCUGUUUUGAUUACUGUAGCCUUGUAGUAUAGUUUGAAGUCUGGUAGUGUGGUGCCUCCCGCUGUGUUCUUUUUACUUAGAAUUGACUUGGCUAUGCGGACUCUCCUUUGGUUCCAUAUGAAGUUUAAGGUGGAUUUUUCCAGUUCUGUGAAGAAGGUCAUUGGUAGCUUGAUGGGGAUAGUGUUGAAUCUAUAAAUUACUUUGAGCAAUAUAGCCAUUUUCACAAUAUCGAUUCAUCCUAACCGUGAACACGGAAUGUUUUUCCAUCUGUUUAUAUCUUUUCUUAUUUCCUUGAGCAGUGGUUCAUAGUUCUCCUUGGAGAGGUCCUUGACAUCCUUUGUUAGUUGUAUUCCUAGGCAUUUUAUUCUCUUUGUAGCAAUUGUGAAUGGCAGUUCAUUCUUGAUUUGGCUCUCUUUAAGUCUGUUAUUGAUGUAUAGGAAUGCUUGUGAUUUUUGCACAUUGAUUUUGUAUCCUGAGACUUUGCUGAAGUUGCUUACCAGUUUCAGGAGAUUUUGGGCUGAGAUAAUGGGGUCUUCUAGAUAUACAAUCAUGUUGUCUGCAAAUAGAGACAAUUUGACUUCCUCCUUUCCUAAUUGAAUAUGCUUUAUUUCUUUUUCUUGCCUGAUUGCUCUGGCUAGAACUUCCAAUACUAUAUUGAAUAGGAGUGGUGAGAGAAGGCAUCUUUGUCUAGUGCCAGAUUUCAAAGGGAAUGCUUCCAGUUUUUGCCCAUUCAGCAUGAUUUUGGCUGUGGGUUUGUCACAAAUAGCUUUUAUUAUUUUGAGAUACGUUCCGUCAGUACCUAGUUUAUUGAGGGUUUUUAGCAUAAAGGGCUGUUGAAUUUUGUCAAAGGUCUUCUCUGCAUCUAUUGAGAUAAUCAUGUGGUUUUUGCCUUUGGUUCUGGUUAUGUGGUGAAUUAUUUUUAUAGAAUUGCGUAUGUUGAACCAGCCUUGCAUCCCUGGGAUAAAGCCUACUUGAUCGUGAUGGAUAAGCUUUUAGAUGUGUUGUUACAAUUGGUUUGCCAGUAUUUUAUUGAAGAUUUUUGCAUCUAUGUUCAUCAUGGAUAUUGGACUGAAGUUUUUUGUUGUUGUUGAGUCUCUGCCAGGUUUUGGUCCAGGAUAAUGUUGGUCACAUAAAAUGAUUUGGGAAGGAUUCCCUCUUUUUGGAUAUCUUGGAAUAGCAUCAGAAGGAGUGGUAUCAGCUCUUUUUUGUAUGUCUUGUAGAAUUCAGCUGUGAACCCAUCUGGACCUGGGCUUUUUUGUUGGUAGGCUAUUAAUUGCUGUCUCAAGUUCAGCCCUUGUUAUUGGUCUAUUCAGGGUUUUGACUUCUUCCUGGUUUAGGCUUGGGAAGGUUCAAGUGUCCAGGAAUUUAUCCAUUUCUUCCACGUUUAUUGGUUUAUGUGCAUAGAGUUGUUUGUAGUAAUCUCUGAUGGUAGUUUGUAUUUCUGUGGAAUCAGUGGUGGUAUCUCCUUUAUCGUUUUUUAUUGCAUCUAUUUGAUUCUUCUCUGUUUUCUUUUUUAUUAAUCUGGCUAGCAGUCUGUCUAUUUUGUUGAUCUUAUCAAAAAAACAGCACCUGGAUUUAUUGAUUUUUUUUGGAGGCUUUUUUUGUGUCUCUAUCUCCUUCAGUUCUGCUCUGAUCUUAGUUAUUUAUUGUCUUCUGCUAGAUUUUGAUUUUUGUUUUUAUCUUGCUCCUCUAGCUCUUUCGAUUUGGAUGGUAGGGUGUCAGUUUUAGAUCUUUCCUUGCUUCUUAUGUGGGCAUUUAUUGCUAUCAGUUUUCCUCUAGACACUGCUUUAAAUGUGUCCCAGAGGUUCUGAUAUGUUAUGUCUUCAUUCUCAUUGGUUUCCAAGAACAACUUUAUUUUCAGCUUCAUUUCAUUGUUUAUCGAGUCAUCAUUCAAGAGUCAGUUGUUCAGUUUCCAUGAAGUUGUGUGAUUCUGAGUUGGUUUCUUAAUCCUGAGUUCUAAUUUGAUUGCAGUAUUGUCUGAGAGACUGUUAUGAUUUCCAUUCUUUUUUAUUUCCUGAGAAGUGAUUUACUUCCAAUUAUGUGGUCAAUUUUAGGCUAGGUGUGAUAUGGUGCUGAAAAGAAUGUAUAUUCUCUGGAUUUGGGGUGGAAGUUUCUGUAGAUGUCUAUUAGGUUUCCUUGGUUCCAAUCUGAGUUCAAGUCCUGGAUAUCCUUGUUAAUUUUCUGUCUGGUUGAUCUGUCUACUAUUGACAGUGGAGUGUUAAAGUCUCCCACUAUUAUUAUGUGGGAAUCUAAGUCUCUUUGUAAGUCAUUAAGAACUUGCUUUAUGUAUGUGGGUGCUCCUAUAUUGGGUGUGUAUAUAUUUAGGAUCAUUAGCUCUUCUUGUUGCAUUGAUCCUUUUACUAUUAUGUAAUGUCCUUCUUUGUCUGUUUUGAUCUUUAUUGGUUUAAAGUCUAUUUUAUCAGAGACUAGGAUUGCAACUCCUUUUUUUUUUCUCUCCAUUUGCUUGGUAAAUCUUCCUGCAUCCCUUUAUUUUGAGUAUAUGUAUCUCCUUGCAUGUGAGAUGUGUUUCCUGGAUACAGCUCGCUGUUUGGUUUUGACUUUUUAUCCAAUUUGCCAGUCUGUGUCUUUGAUUGAGGCAUUUAGCCCAUUUACAUUUAAGGUUAAUAUAGUUAUGUGUGAAUUUGAUCCUGCCAUUUUGAUGCUAGGUGGUUGUUUUGCCCAGUAGUUGAUGCAGUUUCUUAAUUGUGUCGAUGCUCUUUACCAUUUUGUACGUUUUUGGAGUGAUUGGUACUGGUUGUUCCAUUCUAUGUUUAGUGCUUCUUUCAGGAGCACCUGUAAGGCAGGCCAGGUGGUGAAGAAAUCUCUGAGCAAUUUCUUGUUCAUAAAGGAUUUUAUUUCUGCUAACAAUCAGGCCCCUCUGUUCUAGGACUGCUGGAGGUCCACUUCAAACCCUGUUUGCCCAGGGAUCAUCUGUAGUGACUGCAGAACAGUAAGGAUUGUUGCCAGUUUCUUCUUCUGUUAUCUUUGUCCCAGAAGGAUACCUGCCAGAUGUCACCCUAGUUCUUCUUUAUGAGGUGUCUCUUUGGAUAUACGGGGGUUGGGAAGCUGCUUGAGGAAACAGCCUCUCCCUUAUAGGAGCUCAAGUGCUGAGCUGUGAGCUCUGUUGUUCUGUUCAGAGCUGCUUGGCUGGUACAUUUAAGUCUGCUGCAGCAGAACUCAUAACUGCCUUUUUUUCCCAGGUGCUCUGUCCUGGGAAGGUAGGGCUUUAUUUAUAAGUUCCUGAUAUGCUGCUGCUUUUUUUCAGAGUUGCCCUGCCCAGCGAGGAGGUAGCCUAGCCACAGUCUUCCAGCAGAGGCACUGCUGAGCUGCCAUGGGUUCUGCCCAGCUACUGUGUCAACUUCCUUGCAGUUUUGUUUAUAGAGGUAUAGUUAGAACUGCCUCAGUAAUGACAGACUAUCUCUGUAAUGGUGGAUUGCCUCAGUAAUGGCAGACUGCUUCAGUAAUGGCAGAUUGCCUUGGUAAUGGUGCACUGCCUCAGUAAUGGAAGACUGCCUUGGUAGUGGUGAACUGCCUCAGUAAUGGCGGAUGCCCUUCCCACCACAAAGCUGUACUUGUGGUGAAAUUCUCAAUCCAGAGCAUUUCAGAUUGCUGGUCCUUGUGGGGGUGGGAUGUGCCUAGCCAGAUCACCUGGCUCCCUUUUUCAGUCCCCUUUUUUUCAGUUGAAUGGGUGACUCAGUCUCCCAGGUGUUCCAGGCGCCAGUUGAAACGGCACCCAGAUUUGUGUGAGUUUUUGUGUGGAGACCCGUUGCGCCAGCUCAAACAGCCAUGCUGGAGACUCAUGGUGCUUUUCCACCCAGGAAUCUCCCAGUCUGUAGGCAGUAAAAAUUCGUUUGGAAAUGCAGUGAUUGGAGAGAUCCAAGAUGGCUGAUCACUAGCAGCUCAGGCUUGUAGCUCCCAGUGAAAUCGCAGAGAACAAGAGGACACCACACUUUCAGAUGAAUUUUUGUUGUUCACGGACCAGGAGAUUCCCAGCAGAGGAGCCCCACGGGUCGCCAGCACGACUCUUGCAGCUGGUGUGGCGGUUUUGCCGGUGCCCCGGUGCGGCAGUUCUCGGUGCAGAGUAAACGGGACUGGGUCCCCUUUUGGUCGAUGAUUGGAGCUCCAGGAAGGGGCAGAGCCGCCCAGUCAGCUAAUUGAAGAAGGGAUUCAGGAGAGAAGCCAGACCGGAGACUCCCGGACAGAAAAGCACCAAGAAUCUUGAUGCCGCUGUUUUAGCCGAUGCAGUGGGUUGCUCAGAUUUUGUUCCUGGGAAUUAACAAGUUGGACGUCCACUCAGAGACCUAAUUUGAAAGUCGGUAAUUACAAAGACAACAGCUGGAUAAAUUUACAAUGAUAAGAAGAAACCAGCGUAAAAAGGCUGAGAAUACUCAAACUCAGAAUGCCUCUCCCUCUACAGAGGAUCACAGUUCCUCAUCAACAAGGGAACAAGGCCUGAUGGAGAACGAGUGCAUUCCAUUAACAGAAUUAGGCUUCAGAAGGUGGAUAAUAAGAAACUUCUCUGAGUUAAAAGAACAUGUUCAAGCCCAAUGCAAAGAAACUAAGAACUUUGAAAAAAGGUUUGACGAAAUCCUAAUGAGAAUAGACAAUCUAGAGAGGAAUAUAAGUGAAUUAAUGGGACUGAACAAUACGAGAACACUGAGAAGUAUGCACAGGUUUUAACAGUCAAAUUGUCAAGCAGAAGAAAGGAUAUCAGAGGUCAAAGACCAAACUUAAUGAAAUGAAAUGAGAAGACAAGGUUAGAGAAGAAAAAGUAAAAAGGAAUGAGCAAAGGCUCCAAGAAAUAUGGGACUAUGUGAAAAGACCUAAUUUACGUUUGGUAGAUGUACCUGAAUGUCAUGAAGAGAAUGAAUCCAAGCUGGAAAAUAUUCUUCUGGAAAACUUUCCUAACCUAGUAAAGUGGGACAAUACUCAACUCCAGGUAAUACAGAGAACACUACAAAAAUAUUCCUCAAGUAGAGCAAUCCCAAGACACAUAAUCGUUAGAUUCACUAGGAUUGAAAUAAAGGAGAAAAUUCUAAGGGCAGCUAGAGAGAAAGGUCAGGUUACCCAUAAAGGGAAGCCUAUCAGACUUACAGCAGAUCUCUCAGCAGAAACCCUACAAACUAGGAGAGUGGGGGUCAAUAUUCAAUACCCUCAAAGAAAAGAAUUUUCAACCCAGAAUCUCAUAUCCAGCCAAACUAAGCUUUAUAAAUGAAGGAAAAAUAAAAUUCUUCACGAACAAGCAAGCACUCAGAGAUUUCAUCACCACCAGACCUGCUUUACAAGAGCUUCUGAAAGAAGCACUACACACAGAAAGGAACAACCAGUAUCAGCCAAAAACUUACCAAAAGGUAAAGAGUAGCUCCAUAAUGAAGAAUUUAUACCAACUAAUGGGCAAAAUAGCCUGCUAGCAUUAAAUGACAAUAUUAAACUCACAAUAUCAAUAAUAAUCCUGAAUUUAAAUGGAUUAAUUGCCCCAAUCAAAGACACAGAUAUGCAAACUGAACAAAAAGUCAAAACACAUCGGCACUCUUUAUCCAGAGCCAUCUCAUAAGCAAGGACACAGAAAGACUCAAAACAAAAGGUUGGAGGAAGACUCACCAGUCAAAUGGAGAGAAAAAAAAACAAAAGAAAACAAAAAACAGGAGUUGUAACUUUCAUCUCUGACAAAAUAGACUACAAUAGCAACAAAGACUAAAAGAAACAAAGAAGGACAUUACAUAAUGAUAAAAGGAUCAAUGCAACAACAGGAGUCAAUGAUCAUAAAUAUAUAUGCACCCAAUAUAGGGGCACCCAGAUACAUAAGACAAGUUUUCAAUGACUUAUAAAGAGACUUGGACUACCACACAAUAAUAGCAGGAGACUUUGACACCACAUUGUUAAUAUUCAAUGGAUUAACGAGAUAGAAAAAUAACAGGGACAUUUAUGAUUUGAACUCAGAUCUGGAGCAAGUAAACUCAAUGAAUAUUUAUAGAAUUCUUCACCCUGGGUGCACAGAACAUACAUUUUUUUUAGUAUCACAUUACACCUAUUUUGAAAGUGACCAAAUAAAUGGAAGCAAAUCACUCUUUAGCAUUUGCACAGCAUUUCACAGAUUUAAAUGAAAUAUUGGUUGGCUGUUUCUUUGUUAUUUUCUUUCCCUAUUCCUUCCUGUCUCCGCUGUUAAGCACAAUUAUCAGCAAAAAAGAGGUUUUUAAUACCUAUUUUUAGAUAGCAUUCCAGCCUGGGCAAUAGGGCAAGACUCCUGUUCUCUCUCGCCCUUUUCUCUUUCUCUAAAAAAAAAAAAAAAAAAAAGGAAAUGCAGUGAUCACUCACCUUCUGCAUUCUGGGAACUGCACUCCAGAGCUGUUCCUAUUUGGCCAUCUUGGAUUGUUUGCUAUUUUUUUGUCUUUUUAAUAGUAGCCACUCUGACUGGGGUAAGAUGAUGUCUCAUUGUGGUUUUGAUUUGCAUUUCUCUGAUGAUUAGUGAUUUUGAGCAUUUUUUUCAUAUACCUGUUGGCCAUUUGUAUUUUGUCUUUUGAGAAAUAUCUAUUCAUGUACUUUGCUUUCCCCUACUUUUUUUUUUUUUUUUGAGACGGAGUUUCACUCUUGUUACCCAGGCUGGAGUGCAAUGGCGUGAUCUUGGCUCACCACAACCUCUGCAUCCUGGGUUCACACAAUUCUCCUGCCUCAGCCUCCUGAGUAGCUGGGAUUACAGGCAUGCACCACCAUGCCCAGCUAAUUUUUGUAUUUUUUUUUUUUUUUUUAGUAGAGACGGGGUUUCACCAUGUUGACCAGGAUGGUCUCGAUUUCUUGACCUCGUGAUCCACCUGCCUCGGCCUCCCAAAGUGCUGGGAUUACAGGCUUGAGCCACCGCGCCCGGCCUCCCCUACUUUUUAAUGGAAUUAUUUGUUGCUUUUUUUUUUUUUUCCUGUUGAGUUGUUUGAGUUCCUUGUAUAUUCUGUAUAUUAGUCCCCUGUCAGAUGAAGUUUGCAAAUGUUUUCUCCAAUUCAGCAGGGUGCCUCUUCACUUUGGUGAUUAUUUCCUUUAUUGUGCAGAAGCUUUCUUUUUGUUUAAUUAAGUCUCUUUUGUCUAUUUUUAUUUGUUAUCUAUGCUUUUGAAGUCUUGGUAAUACAUUCUUUGCCUACACCAAUGCCCACUAGAGUUUUUGCUAGGUUUUCUUCUAGUAUUUUUAUAAUUUUAGAGCUUGCAUUUAAGUCUUUAAUCAACUUCAAGUUUAUUUUUGUAUGUGGUGAGAGAUAGGGGUCCAGUUUCAUUCUUCUGCAUGUGGCUAUCUUAUUUUUCCAGCACGAUUUAUUUAAGAGAUUGUCCUUUCUCCAAUAUGAGUUCUUGUUGCCUUGGCCAAUGAUCAGUUGACUGUAAAUAUGUGGCCUUAUUUUUGGGUUUUCUGUUCUGUUCCAUUGGUCUAUUUUUAUACCAGUAUGAUGUUGUUUAGGUUAUUAUAGUCUUGUGGCAUAUUUUGAAGUCAGGCAAUGUGAUGCUUCCAGCUUUGUUCAUUCUGCUCAGGAUUGUUUUGGCUCUUGGGUUCUUUUUUGGUUUCACAUGCAUUUUAGGAUUAUUUUUUCUAGUUCUGUAAAAAAAAUGGUGUGGCAUUUUUAUUAAAAUUGCAUUGAAUCUGUAGAUUUCAUUGGAUUGGUCCAUACAGUCAUUUUAACAAUAUGAAUUCUAAUCCAUGAGCUUGAGAUGUUUUUCCAUUUGUUUGUAUUAUCUUCAGUUUCUUUCAUCAGUAUUUUGUAGUUUUCUUUGUAGAGAUCUUUCACCUCUUUGGUUAAAUAUGUUCCUAGGCUUUUGUUUGUUUGUUUGUUUGUAGCUAUUAUAAAUGGGAAUGCUUUCUUGAUUUUUGUAGAAAUGCUAAUGAUUUUGGGGCAUUGAUUUUGCAUCCUAUAGCUUUAAUGAAUUCAUUUAUCAAAUCUUAGAGGUGUAGGGGUGUGUUUGUGUGUGUGUGUGUGUGUGUAUAGUCUAGGUUUUUCUAGGUAUAUCACAUCAACAGCAAAGAGGGACAAUUUAACUUCCUCUUUUCCAAUUUGGAUGCUGUUUAUUUUUUUCACUUGCCUGAUUGCUCUGGCUAGGACUUCCAGCACUGUCUUGGAUAGGGGUAAUGAAAGUGGGCAUCCUUGUCUUGUUCCAGUUCUCAGAGGAAAGGCCUUCAACUUUUCCACAUUCAGUAUGAUUUUAGUUGUGGGUUUGUUGUAUAUGGCCUUUCUUAUUUUGAGGUAUGUUCCUUUUAUACAUAGUUUGUUGAGUUUUCUAUCAUGAAGCCAUGUUGAAUUUUAUCAGAUGAUUUUCUGCAUCUAUUGAGAUGAUCAUGUGGUUUUUGUCCUUCAUUCUGUUGACAUAAUAUAUCAUGUUUAUUGACUUGCAUAUGUUGAACCAUUCUUGCAUCCCUGAUAUAAAUCUCACUUGAUUAUGGUAUAUUAUCUUUUUGUUUUUUGUAUUUGUUUGAGACAGGAUCUCCUUCUAUUGCCUAGGCUAGAGUGCAGUGGGGUGAUCUUAGCUUACUGCAACCUCAGCCUCCUGGGCUCAAGUGAUACUUCCACGUCAGCCUCCUGAAUAGCUGUGACUAUAGGUGAAUGCCACCACACCUGAUUAAUUUUUGUUAUUUGUAGAGAUGGAGUCUCACUAUAUUGCCCAGACUGGUCUUGAACUCCUGGGCUUAGGUAAUCCUACUGCCUUGCCUUAGCUUCUCAAAGUGCUGAUGAGGGAAUGUGUUCUCUUUCCAGAUCCACAGGAGACAUAGUUUUGAGGGCAAGAACUUCCUAGCACCAUGCCCCCCACUCCUAUCUCUCUCCAUCUGGGAGAUUUAACAGUUUGUGUUUAAAUUUCACAGGCACAGGAAGAAACUAGGAGUCAGUCACUCCAGUGGAAGUUCUAAUGAACCCCUUUCAUUGGCCUGGGGUCUUAGAGAAGGUGGGGGUUCCUCCCAGCUUAAAAGUCCCCUUCUUCCACAGCCCUUCGGACUCCAUGUUUGGAUCCCCUUCCAUGGACACUCCCUUCGUGGAAGCGGUUUUUCUCUAUCCUAGAUUUUCCCUCUGGAGUCUCCUUCCACACUCUCUCAUGGAAGCCUAUCUUCCCUUCCUAAACUCUAUCUCUCUAUUCCCUUCUUCUCAGUGUGAGAAGGAAAUCCAUCUUUCUAAAUUCUCUCACUCAGUGUGAGAGUUAGCUGUUUCUUUCUCUCCUUCUCCUGUUUCUCUCUCUCUUUAAAUAAAUCACUUUCUGGUCGGGCGCGGUGGCUCACGCCUGUAAUCCCAGCACUUUGGGAGGCCGAGGCGGGUGGAUCACGAGGUCAAAAGAUCGAGACCAUCCUGGUCAACAUGGUGAAACCCCGUCUCUAUUAAAAAUACAAAAAAUUAGCUGGGCAUGGUGGCGCGUGCCUGUAGUCCCAGCUACUCGGGAGGCUGAGGCAGGAGAAUUGCCUGAACCCAGGAGGCGGAGGUUGCCGUGAGCCGAGAUCGCUCCAUUGCACUCCAGCCUGGGUAACAAGAGCAAAACUCCAUCUCAAAAAUAAAUAAAUAAAUCACUUUCUACGAACACUUUUGAGUCCAGCAUUUACUGCGCACUGUGCUGUGGUCCCCUCUCUCAUUCUUGAGAGGGCAGGAGACCAAGAAUCUGGAGAAACAUCCUCUCAGGGGAGCUGAGGGCACCCUGAACCCCAAUAUUACACUGGGGUUACAGAUGUGAUAAUCCAAUACCAAAUCCAACAGUACAUCAAAAAGAUAAUAUACUCUGCCAAGGCCUGGGGGAAUUAUCUUUUCGAUGUUCCAUUGGAUUUGGUUUGCUAGUAUUUUGUUGAGGAUUUUUGUGUCUAUGUUCAGAGAUACUGUUCUGUAGUUUUCGUUUUUGUCAUCUCCUUGAGUUUUGAUAUUAGGGUGAUGCUGACCACAUAGAUGAGUUAGGAAAAAUUUCCUCCUCUCUGAUUUUUUGAAAUAACUUCAAGAAGAUUGAUAGUAGUGCUUUGUACCUUUGGUAGAACUCAGGUGUGAAUCUAUCUGGUCCUGGGCUUUUAUGCUGUUGUUGUCUUACUGAUUCAGUCUUACUGUCUGUUAUUGAUUUGUUUAGGUUUUCUGUUUAUUCAUGCCCAAUUGGGGUAGGUUGUAUGUUUUCAAGAAUUUAUCUAUAUCUGAUAGGUUUUCCAGUUUGUCAGUGUGUAGUUGUUCAUAACAGUCUCUGAUGAUCUUUUGUAUUUCUGUGAUAUCAGUUGUAAUGUUUCCUUUUUCAUUUCUGACUUUAUUUAAAUCUUUCUUCAUGACUAGCCUAGCUAGUGGUUUUUAAAUAUUGUUUA